CUGGGAAGUGGCGGAUCCGGUUUGUCCAGGGUGCAUCUAGAACCCGGUUGGUGGAGGGAAUGCAGGGAGACGGAUAGAUUGCGGUGGCUGCGGCAGCAUGGUGGGUGCGGAGAAGGAGCAGAGCUGGAUCCCCAAGAUCUUCAAGAAGAAGACGUGCACGACUUUCAUCGUUGACCCCACAGAUGCGGGGGGGACCUUGUGCCAGUGUGGGCAACCCCGGUGUGCCCACCCAUCGGUGGCUGUGGAGGAUGCAUUCGGGGCAGCCGUGGUGACCGUAUGGGACAGUGACCUGCACACCACGGAGAAGCCCACAGAUGCCUUCGGAGACCUGGACUUCCUGGGUGCCGGCCGCAAGGCCAGCAAUUUCCUCCGGCUCUCUGACCGCACGGAUCCAGCUACAGUUUAUAAUCUGGUCACGAACAUAUGGGGCUUCCAGGCCCCGAACCUGGUGGUGUCAGUGCUGGGGGGGUCGGGGGACCCCACCCUGCAGACUUGGCUGCAGGACCUGCUGCGACGCGGGCUGGUGCGGGCUGCGCAGAACACAGGGGCCUGGAUUGUCACCGGAGGGCUGCACAAGGGCAUUGGACGGCAUGUGGGUGUGGCUGUGCGGGACCACCAGACGGCCAGGACUGGGGGCAACAAGGUGGUGGCCAUGGGCGUGGCCCCCUGGGGUGUGGUUCGGAAUAGACACACCCUCAUCAACCCCAAGGGCUCGUUUCCUGCGAGGUACCGGUGGCACGGUGACCCUGAGGAUGGGGUCCAGUUCCCUCUCGACUACAACUAUUCGGCCUUCCUCCUGGUGGACGACGGCACCCACAGCCGCCUGGGCGGCGAGAACCGAUUCCGCUUGGGCUUCGAGUCCUACCUUGCCCAACAGAAGACGGGCGUGGGAGGGACUGGAAUUGACAUCCCUGUCCUCCUUCUCUUGAUUGAUGGUGAUGAAAAGAUGUUGAAGCGGAUAGAGAAUGCCACCCAGGCUCAGCUCCCCUGCCUCCUGGUGGCUGGGUCUGGGGGAGCUGCAGACUGCCUGGCAGAGAUCCACACUCUGGCUCCAGGGAGUGGAGGAGGCAGGCGAAGUGAAGCCCAAGAUCUGAUUAAACGUUUCUUCCCCAAAGGGGACCCUGAGAUCCUACAGGCCCAGGUGGAGAGGAUCAUGACUCGGAAGGAGCUGCUGACAGUCUAUUCAGCUAAUGAUGGCCCUGAGGAAUUUGAGACCAUCGUUUUGAAGGCCCUUGUCAAGGCCUGUGGGAGCUCUGAAGCCUCAGCUUACCUGGAUGAGUUGCGUUUGGCUGUGGCUUGGAACCGUGUGGACAUUGCCCAGAGUGAACUCUUCCGGGGGGAUAUCCGAUGGCGGUCUUUCCACCUGGAAGCCUCCCUCAUGGACGCCCUUCUGAAUGACCGGCCAGAGUUCGUGCGCUUGCUCAUCUCCCAUGGCCUUAGCCUGGACCGCUUCCUGACCCCUACGCGCCUGGCCCAGCUCUACAACGCAGCGCCCCCCAACUCACUUAUCCACAGCCUUUUGGACCAGGCGUCCCACGGCACAGGCAACAAAGGCCCAGUCUCUAAACCCUCUUCGGAGCCACAACCCCCUAAGGUGGGGCAGGUGCUGCGGAUGCUGCUGGGGAAGACGUGUGCACCGACGUUCCCCGCCGGGGGCACCCACCAGGGCGAUGGCAGCAAGGAGGAUUCGUAUCUGCUGUGGGACAAGGCUACCUCAGAACUUGCGCUGGAAGCCAUCCCCGGGCAGGCACCCUGGAUUGACCUGCUCCUCUGGGCACUGCUGCUCAACAGGGCUCAGAUGGCCGUGUACUUCUGGGAGAUGGGUUCCAAUUCUGUGGCCUCAGCUCUUGGGGCCUGUCUGUUGCUGCGAGUGCUGGGGCGCCUGGAGACUGAGGCUGAGGAGGCAGCACGGAGGAAGGACCUGGCAGCCAAGUUUGAGGGGCUGGGUGUUGACCUCUUUGGAGAAUGCUACCGCAGCAGCGAGGAACGGGCUGCUCACCUGCUCCUUUGGCGCUGCCCACUCUGGGGGGAUGCCACCUGCCUCCACCUUGCCAUGCAGGCUGAUGCCCGUUCCUUCUUUGCCCAGGAUGGGGUACAGUCUCUGCUGACACAGAAGUGGUGGGGGGAGAUGGACAGCACCACACCCAUCUGGGCCCUGGUUCUCACCUUCUUUUGCCCCCCACUCAUCUACACCAACCUCAUCACCUUCAGGAAGCCAGAUGAGGAACCCACGCAGAAGGACCUGGCAUUUGACAUGGACAGGGACGUCAGUGGGGAAGGGCCUGGCGAGGCCACAGACCCUCCUGAGAAGAUGCCCUUGGGGGUGUUGGGGCCGCCCAGCCGCAGGAGCUGCUGUGGGGGGUGCCCCCAGCGCCUGCGCCGCUGGCCCCAGUUCUGGGGAGCGCCGGUGACUUCCUUCAUGGGCAACGUGGUCAGCUACCUCCUCUUCCUGUUGCUCUUCGCCCACGUGCUGCUCAUUGACUUCCAGCCCGAGACGCCCAGCGCCCUGGAGCUGCUGCUCUACUUCUGGGCCUUCACCCUGCUCUGCGAGGAGUUCCGCCAGGGGCUGGGUGGCGGCUUGGGCAGCCUGGCCAUGGGGGCCCCCAGGACAGACACCCACCAGGCCCCACUGCGCCGCCGCCUGCACCUCUACCUCUCAGACGCCUGGAACCAGUGCGACCUGGUGGCCCUCACCUGCUUCCUCCUGGGCGUGGGCUGCCGGCUGACCGCAGGACUGUAUGACCUGGGCCGUACUGUCCUCUGCCUCGACUUCAUGAUCUUCACGGUGAGGCUGCUGCACAUCUUCACAGUCAACAAACAGCUGGGGCCCAAGAUCGUCAUGGUGAACAAGAUGAUGAAGGAUGUGUUCUUCUUCCUCUUCUUCCUUGGCGUGUGGCUGAUUGCCUACGGGGUGGCCACGGAGGGGCUCCUUAGGCCCCAGGACCGUAACCUUGCGAAUAUCCUGCGCCGGGUCUUCUACCGGCCCUACCUGCAGAUCUUUGGGCAGAUCCCCCAGGAGGACAUAGACGCGGGCCUCAUGAAGCCUGAAAACUGUUCAUCGGAGAAGGGCUUAUGGGCGCGCCCCUCAAGGACCCAGGCAGGCUCCUGCGUCUCGCUUUAUGCCAACUGGCUGGUGUUGGUCCUCCUCGUCAUCUUCCUGCUCGUGGCCAACAUCCUGCUGGUCAAUUUGCUCAUCGCGAUGUUCAGCUAUACCUUCGGCAAAGUACAGGGCAACAGCGACCUCUACUGGAAGGCGCAGCGCUACAGCCUCAUCCGGGAAUUUCACUCUCGGCCCGCACUGGCUCCGCCUCUCAUCGUCAUCUCGCACGUGCUCUCCCUCAUCCGUCGAUUGCGCAGGCGCCGGGCCAGCUUGCCACCUUCAGCAGUCAUCGAGCAUUUUCGGGUCCACCUCUCGAAGGAAGCAGAGCGGAGGCUGUUGACGUGGGAGUCAGUGCAAAAGGAGAAUUUCCUGCUGGAGCGAGCUCGGGACAAGCGGGAGAGCGACUCUGAAAGUCUGAAGCGCACAUCGCAGAAGGUGGACACAGCAUUGCAGCAGCUGAGACAGAUCCGCGAGUACGAGCAGCGUCUGAAAGGACUGGAACAGGAGGUCCAGUACUGUAGCCGUGUCCUGGGCUGGGUAGCUGAGGCCUUGAGCCGCUCUGCAUUACUUCCCCCAGGGGGGCCGCUGCCCCCAGCCUCACCUGGGCCUAAAGACUGAGCCCUGCUGGUGGACUUCAAAGAGUAGCUGCCAUAGGGAGUUUUGCUCCCAGAGUAAGGCCUAGCAGGUCCUUGACCCCUGCACCUGGCGACCUUGUCCUUGAGGUGAACCUCAUGCGCACGGACUACCACCUCGGCCGCUGUCACGAUCACUGCAGGGAGUGUCAUCCAUACAAGCCACAGCAGGCUUGGAUCCUCCGAGAACCAGCCCUACUCUGGAAGCAUGAGCCUCCGGAGCCCAGGCAUUGCCUCUCAAGGCUGUACCACAGCCUGCUGGGCUGGAGAAGGCUGCAGGGUCCUUGAGCCCCACUAUUCCUGUGUGACUCAGGCCCAGCACCUCUUGUCUGCACUAUUUUGAUGACUCUCACUUCAGUGGGAUAAGAACCCCAACCAUCUGUACCCGCCCCCCCAUUCCGGCCUACCAAUGAAAGAAGAACUCAGAGAUAAAAACAUUUGGGAUCUUAGCUCCCCGACCAGGGAUCGAACCCGCACCCCCUGCACUGGAAGGCGAAGUCUUAACUACUGGACCACCAGGGAAGUGCCCUUCACUUUCUUAAUGGUGUCUCUUGGAGGGAAGAAUUUUAUCAACAUUUUCUUUUAUGUUUGAUGCUUUUUUGUCCUAUCUGAGAAAUCUUUGACUAACCCAAGUCACAAAGAUUUUCUCUUCAAAGUUUUAUAGUUUUAGGCUUUGCGUUUAGGUCUGUAAUCUUUUUUUUUUUUUUUUUUGGCCUGGCCACGUAGCUUGUGGGAUCUUAGUUCCCUGGCCAGGGACUGAACCCAUGCCCUCGGGGUCCUAACAACUGGACACCAGGGAACUCCCUGCAACCUAUUUUGAGUUCAUUUUUAUACAUAGGGUAAUUUUGUAGUCAAGGUUGUUUAUUUUUGCAGAUGUGUAAUUUAAUUGCUCAGCAUCAUUGGUUGAAAAGACUCCUUUUUUCUCCAUUGAAUUAUCGUGGCACCUUUGCUGAAAAUCAAUUGACCAUAUAUGUGUGGGUCUAUUUCUGAGCUCUCUCUUCUGAUCAGUACAUCUAUAUGUCAAUCUUUUCACCAGUACCAUACUGUUUCGAUUACUGUAGCUUUGUACUGAAUCUUGAAAUCAGGUAGUGUGAGUCCUCUAACUUUGCCUUCCCUUUUCAAAAUUGUUUUAGUUGUCCUAAUUCCUUUGAUUUUUGAUAUAAACUUUGGAAUCUGGUUGUCAAUUUCUCUAAACAACCUGUUGGGAUUUUGUUUGGGAUUGUGUUGAAUCUACAGGUCAGUUCAAGGUGAUUGACAUCUUAAUGGUACUGUAGUUUCUGAUCCAUGAACACUGUAUGUCUCUUAAUUUGGUUAGGUCUUCUUUGAUUUCUAUCAUGAGUGUUUGUGGUUUUCAGCAUACAAAUC